rnacentral:misc_RNA from 1 species
CAACCCUCAAGCCCCCGGGCUUGGUGUUGGGGAUCGGCGAGCCUCCGCGCCCGCCGUCCCCCAAAUCUAGUGGCGGUCUCGCUGUAGCUUCCCCUGCGUAGUAGCACACCCCGCCCUGGGAAACAGCGCGGCCACGCCGUUAAACCCCCAACUUCUGAAA